AAUAUUAAAUUGUUUGCUUUUAUAGUAUUUUAUUUUUAUUAAGUAUUAAAAAAUAAAGAAAAAUUAAUAUGUUAUUUUUUCUAUUUAGAAAAAGCUAAAUAUUUUGAUUUUUUUCAUUUAAUAAAAAAAUUAUAAUAAGUUAUAAAAAAAUAGAAAAACAAACGACCUAAAUUCUAAAAAUAAAUUAUUUUCAAUAAAAAACAAAAAAAACAAACACCACCUUAAUUACACUAUAAUCUAAUUAGGAUCAAAGAUGAAUGGGGAAUUGGAAUAUAGUUCAUAUUUUCGUGUCUUAAUAUAAUGUUAUAUACAUGUCCCAAAUAUUUUAUUUUGAAUUCUUACUCAAGCCUAUUUAUAAAAAAACGAUAGGACAGAAUAAAAUGAAGCUUACAAAGCUGAAAGAGAUGUCAAGUUUACCAAAAGAAUCAAGUGUGAACAUCAUAUGGUUAAAGUUCGUUGGAAUACAAAAUUGUUGUAGUAAAGAGAAAGCCAGGAAAAACUGAAAAAAGAGAAAAGAAUAGAAAACGUGGAGUUUAAGAGAGAGAGAGGGAGGGAGGGAGGGAGAGAGAGGGAGGAAGGAGGGGUUACUCCCACAUGUGUGGAUGCAUUCAAUGAUGGAGUAAUGCAGAAGAUCGAUAGAGAGAGAAUCAUUGUUAGAGAAAGUUGAAGCCAUGGAUCAAAGAGACAAAGCAGAAAUGGUCCCCCCUUUCAUCUUCUUCUUCCUCCUCUGAGAAGAGAAAAGAAAUGGGGAAAUGGGGAAAUGGUCCCCCAUGAUGAAGGCUACGGAGAAGAAAGGAAUUGGUCGGAGGAGGGAGAUGGGUUUAUUUAAUUUUAUUUUUAUAUAAAUUAGAAUGGGGAAAUGGGUGUGUAUGUAUAUAUCUCUCUCGCUCUCUCUCUCUCUCUCCUUUUAUAUGUUUCAUUAAAAGGAACAAUGUGGUAUGUCUCACAGUUGCCCUCAACUCUGCCCCUGGUACGGGAUUAGGGCCUUGAAUUCCCAUCGCCACGUGUCAACUACCCAUUUCAGCUAGUACAAUCUCCCACUUCCUUCUUCAUCUUUCUCCCUGCUU
rnacentral:lncRNA from 1 species